UGAGGAAUAUUGGUCAAUGGACGCAAGUCUGAACCAGCCACGUCGCGUGAAGGAAGACGGCCCUAUGGGUUGUAAACUUCUUUUGUAAGGGAAUAAAGUGCAGUACGUGUACUGUUUUGCAUGUACCUUACGAAUAAGGAUCGGCUAACUCCGUGCCAGCAGCCGCGGUAAUACGGAGGAUCCGAGCGUUAUCCGGAUUUAUUGGGUUUAAAGGGUGCGCAGGCGGGAGAUUAAGUCGGCGGUGAAAUUUUGCAGCUUAACUGUAAAAGUGCCAUCGAUACUGGUUUCCUUGAGUGUAGAUGAAGUAGGCGGAAUUUGUGGUGUAGCGGUGAAAUGCAUAGAUAUCACGAGGAACUCCGAUUGCGCAGGCAGCUUACUAAACUACUACUGACGCUCAGGCACGAAGGCGUGGGGAUCAAACAGG
rnacentral:rRNA from 2 species